GCAGAUUACGCGUUGAAUGAGCCGCACAGAUCCCGAUUCCGGAUCAAUGGGUAGCUCGACAUCACGUGCAACGGAAGAGGGUUUAGGGUUCCUCGGUGUCCGGUGCAAUGGAGGCGAGCUCCCCGGUUGGAUCCCGGAUUCGAACUAAGAAGAGUCUGAAUCCGGUCGACUCCAAUCAACAUCCCAGAAAUUUCUUUCCAUCUCUUCGUCCGAUGGGUUUCCUCUACAACACACCUCGUGAUUUGUUGCUUAGAAGGAUAUCGUGAUCACUCUGUUUCUUGUCGAAUGGAAAGGAUAUGUUGAUCCCUCUUAUUCGUGUUGAAUUUGCUGAAGUUUAUGUUUGUCUGUUGUCAUGUCAAAGGAAAGUAACAGGAUCUUUAUUAGUUUCAACUUUGUUAUCUACAUUCCAAUUAGAUGCGCUUGCGAGACGAGAGGAUUCUGACUGGUGUUGGCUCAUGCUUUUUCUUUGAGAUAACAUCGUCAAGUUUCUAAAAAUUAUACCUUGAUUGGCAAAAGAAUUCAUAAUUAAUUGUUCUAUUUGGUUUGCUUCUGAAAAAUAUCCGACAAGUAUCAUUAUCUGAUUCAUAUAUGAUAUGGAUUCCACAUGCAUUUUGAAUUGUGUAUGUUCUGUAGAUUGCUCUGAAGCUGUAUAUUUGUUUUGUCCAUGGGAUCAACUGAUUAUUUCCACAUGGAGUUUGGGCUUCUCUUUAGAGCCUCUCUUUCCCUGCUCACUUUAUCAUGUCAUCAUGUUGCUGCUCUGUUUUUCAAUAUUGUUACAAGAAACUAUUCCAGUCUGUAGAAUAAUUUGAUUAUCUUUGUCCUUUUCCUAUCCUUCUCUUCUUUCCUUUUCCUAUCAUGACAUUUUGCUCUUCAGCUUUCAUGUCAAAUAAUGUAACUGAUUGAAGAAAUGCUUCAAUAACACAGUAUACUGACCAAAAGAUUUUGGCAGUUGAGAGGAAGUACCUUGAGGGGCAACACAAGCUGGUGUAUCAAUUUGAAGAUAAACCUCACUGCAGAUCUCCUUACCUUUUCAGAAGUGAUCAUGAGUUGUCUCAAUCUGAAACUGAGCUUUUACCAACUAUCAAGCCUCCAAGAACAGGCUGUGGAUCUGUGCAACAGAAGCUACCACAUGCAAGUGCAGUCCCCAUCGGACUUCUCAAGAGGUCUACGUUUCAUUUCUCCCCUCCAAGAACAUACUUUUCUGAGUGUACAGUGGGGUGCAGAGCCUGCAGCGACAUCUACAUCCAGUCUCCAAAUCAUUAUCAUGUGUUUUUUGCUUUAUGCCUUCCUUUUCUGGCGAGAUUAUGGUUGAUUGAGUUGUGCCAGCUGAUCAAAUUGGCUCAUCUGUUUCAUCUUAUGGCAAUCCACGUUUCUGGUGGUGUGGUUUUGCCAAGUACAUAGGUUUUCUGCUGCAUGGAAGCCAUCCAAAGAAGCCACAUGGUAGCUGCAUUGCUAAUUCAAAUCCGGCCUCAUGGAGUUUUCCUCAUAAUCAAGAAUAAAAGUUGAAAAGUCUUUAUGCUGACUCAACUUGAGAAUGAUACAAAGAGAUUCCUUGUCUUCUAUAAAGAUUAGUACCAAAGUUUUUUCUCCUUGGUCAACUGGAGGACAGCCAAGUAUUCACUCACAGUGGAGCCCAAGCAAUAAGUGAUCAAGGAAAAUGACUCCCUCGUAACUUCCGGCUUCACAAGUCAACCAGCACAAGAGAUGAAGAUAGUACAUGAUGGCCUGAUGAUGAGAGUAACGAGCAUGAUCCAAGAAUCCAGCGCUAAUACAGCCCUCAGAUUUGUUACUCUGCUUUAAGUUCAGGACUUUUGUGUCUCUUUGUUAGCCAAAUUCCUGUACUUUGGAAAGAAGAACUCUGCAUUUCAACUACAACUGGGCUCCAAAUUAUAAAAGCCUAACUACUUUUCUGUGUUAUAGUCAACAUGAAUGAUGGAAUAAAUUCCUUGGGAUAUCUUGUUGUGUAGUAGAUUUGAAAUUUCAUAUAAAGA